AAAGAUUUGAAAUAAGGGCCAGCAUAAGUGACAUCAAAAUUAAACUGAAGAUUUGGUAGGAAAUGCAGAUUUUUGUUCCUUGAAAUUCCCUAAUGUAUAAUAAAAUAUUAAACCCAACAUUCAAGACAUAUUUUAAAAUGGUGAAAUUGAGAAGAAGCCAACUAUCGUGGAGCGUAUUAUUUUGCCUAAAAAAUGCCUAACAUAUAGCUGCCUCUCUUGCAAACGAAAUUUUCAUGAGUUGAGUGCUCUUUCAAGACACACUAGUUUUGUGCAUCCCAAGACGACCAGUGAUGAUUCAAUGGCUUUUGGACCAUCCUAAGGGUUUCAGAAAUGUUGUGUGUUAUCAGCAGUGGAAUUUUAAAGAGCAUAUGUCACUCAUUUUCUGAAAAAUAGCAAGGAAAGAUUUAUGAAGGGACUUAUUGUAUUAUACUGAUUUUUUUAGAAUAAAUAAA